UCUGCUGUUCCUUGGAGGAUUGGAUCAUGGAUUUGGGCCUGACGGCUGAGUGAACUUGGACUACUUCCUCUUUUUUGCCAUAACCAAGCUUCAAACAGAAAUUAUUGCACCAAAUUAUUGCUGCCAAAGCCAGCAAGAUAAAACUGUCCCUUUUUGGUUCCUGAUGAUCCCUGGCCUCUUGCCUCACACCACCUGACCGCAGCGUGCAGAGAAGGAGGGAGGAAGACAAAGCCUGAAGUGACUGUUUUUAGCCUGGCACCAGCUUUACUGAGGGUUCUCAGAAGACAAUUGAGAGUACGUCAAGUCACACACCGUUAGGAAUGCUUCAAGUAGUUACAUCCGUGGACGUCAAGCUUGGGUAGCGUUUGACCUGGAGUUCUCCAGAGGACCAGAGCCACCAAGAUGCCGCGGUUUGUCUACCUCUCCACCCAUCUGUUAUAAGGAUCAUGUCACCCCGAGGUGGAGGGUGCGGAGACCUGUGCCUGGUAGACUGGGGCUAGUUCCUGUCCCUGUCUGAAGACCUGAGAAGUGGGAGAGCCUACAGGAUAAGCCACAGUCUGAGUCCUCAUUCAAAGACAAGAGAAGACUGGUGUCCUGUAUUAAGACAGGAGGGCAGAAACUUUGGGCAGAGUGUGGGGAAUCUUAUGGAAGAAGGGGAGAUAGAAAGACUUGGAGGGGACAGGAGCUCCACAGGAGACCAAAAAAUCUGGGCUUAGACGGUCCUGCAGAGUCUGAUGCAUCAGCCAAGGGCUGUGCAUGAAUUGGACCUAGAGCCCUGCUCAGAGAUAGCCCAUUGGCAGCUCAGUCUCCAUGUGGGUUCCCUAGUAAGGGGAACAGGGGUUGCCUCUGACAUGGACUCAGUGGCCAGCUCUUUGAUCACCUUCCCCUGGUGUGGUGACCUAACUAGGCCAUAGAGAAAGAGGAUCCAGACAGUCCUGAUGAGACCUGAUAAGCUAGGGUCAGAUAGUAGGGGAGGAGGACUUCCCUAUUAGUGGACUAGGGGAGGGACAUAGGGGCAGAAGA